CACGUAGGGCGCAAGCGUUGUCCGGAAUUAUUGGGCGUAAAGAGCUCGUAGGCGGUCUGUCGCGUCGGAUGUGAAAAUCCAGGGCUCAACCCUGGACCUGCAUUCGAUACGGGCAGACUAGAGUUCGGCAGGGGAGACUGGAAUUCCUGGUGUAGCGGUGAAAUGCGCAGAUAUCAGGAGGAACACCGGUGGCGAAGGCGGGUCUCUGGGCCGAUACUGACGCUGAGGAGCGAAAGCGUGGGGAGCGAACAGG
rnacentral:rRNA from 1 species